rnacentral:rRNA from 1 species
CUUACACAUGCAAGUCGAACGGCAGCACGGACUUCGGUCUGGUGGCGAGUGGCGAACGGGUGAGUAAUGUAUCGGAACGUGCCCAGUAGCGGGGGAUAACUACGCGAAAGCGUAGCUAAUACCGCAUACGCCCUACGGGGGAAAGCAGGGGAUCGUAAGACCUUGCACUAUUGGAGCGGCCGAUAUCGGAUUAGCUAGUUGGUGGGGUAACGGCUCACCAAGGCGACGAUCCGUAGCUGGUUUGAGAGGACGACCAGCCACACUGGGACUGAGACACGGCCCAGACUCCUACGGGAGGCAGCAGUGGGGAAUUUUGGACAAUGGGGGAAACCCUGAUCCAGCCAUCCCGCGUGUGCGAUGAAGGCCUUCGGGUUGUAAAGCAACUUUUGGCAGGAAAAGAAACGUCAUGGGUUAAUACCCCGUGAAACUGACGGUA